rnacentral:rRNA from 1 species
GCAGACAAUAGGAAAGCACCCCUAAAGAGUGUAAUGUAACUAUUCUCUGCGAAGUUAAGCAGCUCAAGCUCGGGUAGUACUCGGGUGGGUGACCACCGGGGAAGUCCGAGUGCUGUCUACU